UAGUUAUAUAUAACAACAAAAGCCUUUGACUAGGGUUUUUUAUUAAAGAGUUGUCAUAAGGUCAAAAUAUUUUCAACACUUUAUCUAUAAGUGAUGUUAAAAAUCUCUCCGGUGUUUAUGGCAAAAAGUCCAAACUCGGAUUCACCAUCUACCCUUCUCCUCAUGUAUAACAAAUCAAUCUUAAAACUAGUGUUUCAAACUUGAGAAUCACGAUAUUCGAUGUUGGGAUUCAAAUGUCGUUGAUGCACUAGAUUCAAAAUGUGUUGGAGAUGUAAGUGUAGCAGUAUACUAUUUAGUAUUGACUAUUGUCUCUUUUUACACACUCAACCAUUCAAAACCCUAAAUUACCAUUCAAACUAGCUAAAUUAUGAUUGUACAUUUGUUAACCAUUUACGGUGGUUCGGAACAAGAAACGCGUCAGUUUCACAUAUGAGUUGUCCCUAAAAGUCAAAGAAAAUAUGGUAGAGUCGUCUUUGUCGAUUUCAGCUUCUGUAAAGAAGGCUUAUUAAAGAGGGUAGACCAAAUGGAGGACAAUCUUAGUAAAGGGAGAUCAAGAAAAACCAUAGGUCAAACUAUCGGGAGGAUGUGUUAAACCAAUGGUUUUUCAUUAGACAUGAUUCACAAGAGAAAAUACUAUGGUGUUGUUCCAUCAAUGUAGUUAAUCUCACUGAUAGAAACUGGUUCAGAUUAAGAACAAAAAAAUAUUAUUUUUAUUGAGAAAAAAGGGUUAAGAGGGAAGGUACUCUUUUUGUUGAUAAUUAGAGUUGGGAUUAGGGAGUUGUAGAUCUCUUGAAUAUCAAGGAAUUUAGGUGCUUCUUGCACAUUUAUUUUGGAACCUUCCCUUUAUUGAAUAUGUUAUGUAACUUCGAAAAUUUUCUUGAACUUGUAUGCAAAACAUGACUAUAUCAAAUGAAAUUACUUUAUGAUCAAUUAAUCAAUAUAAAAUUCAAAAGAGAUGCACCAAACAGUUCCAAAAUUGAAAAUUUUAAUUCAGGUAAUUGAUUCCCCAUAUGUGUUGAUUGAUUAUUUCAAUUCAAAUCAGAAAUUUAUCACAUAAUGUAAUUGUUUUUACCUGUUCUAAUAAGAGAGAAAUUUUCACAUAUCAAAAUCAGAAUUGUAUAGAACUGUAUAGAAUUUAAAAGAUAACGUUAAGAGAAUUUACAAAGACUUGUGUUGGCUAAACCUCAUCCAGCUUGUUCAGGAAAAGCUGCUUCAAUUUGAACGAGAACUCAAAGAUAGAUAAUGACAAAAGCCAUGUAGUAUUUGCUCUCAGUUUGAUUUGAUUGGGUACUAGUAUUUCUGGUACAACUUGAGAAAAAUUAUGAAAAAGUUGGUGCUGAGGAAGCAGAAGAUGAAGAUGAAGAUGUAGGGGAGGAUUAUUGAUGUCGCAAUAUGUAGUACAAGUCGUUUUUCUUACACUUGAUUGUUUCAAGUAGAAGAGAGUAUAUGCUUUAUUACA